ACCUGGGUGGCUCAGUUGGUUGAGUGUCUGACUUUGGCUCAGAUCAUGAUCUCAUGGUUCGUGAGUUCAAGCCCCAUGUCGGGCU
rnacentral:tRNA from 1 species